rnacentral:rRNA from 1 species
UACGGAGGGUGCAAGCGUUGUCCGGAUUUAUUGGGUUUAAAGGGUGCGUAGGCGGCCUUAUAAGUCAGCGGUGAAAUACCCAGGCUCAACCUGGGGGGUGCCGUUGAUACUGUGGGGCUUGAGUACGUUCCGUGUACAUGGAAUUUAUGGUGUAGCGGUGAAAUGCAUAGAUACCAUAAGGAACACCGAUAGCGAAGGCAUUGUACAGGGGCGUAACUGACGCUGAUGCACGAAAGCGUGGGUAGCGAAC